GACGAACGCUGGCGGCGUGCUUAACACAUGCAAGUCGAACGGAAAGGCCCUUUCGGGGGUACUCGAGUGGCGAACGGGUGAGUAACACGUGGGUGAUCUGCCCUGCACUUUGGGAUAAGCCUGGGAAACUGGGUCUAAUACCGAAUACACCUUGCUGGCUGCAUGGCUGGUGGGGGAAAGCUUUUGCGGUGUGGGAUGGGCCCGCGGCCUAUCAGCUUGUUGGUGGGGUGAUGGCCUACCAAGGCGACGACGGGUAGCCGGCCUGAGAGGGUGUCCGGCCACACUGGGACUGAGAUACGGCCCAGACUCCUACGGGAGGCAGCAGUGGGGAAUAUUGCACAAUGGGCGCAAGCCUGAUGCAGCGACGCCGCGUGAGGGAUGACGGCCUUCGGGUUGUAAACCUCUUUCAGUAUCGACGAAGCGCAAGUGACGGUAG
rnacentral:rRNA from 1 species